UGGGGAAUAUUGGACAAUGGGCGAAAGCCUGAUCCAGCCAUGCCGCGUGUGUGAAGAAGGCCUUUUGGUUGUAAAGCACUUUAAGUGGGGAGGAAAAGCUUAUGGUUAAUACCCAUAAGCCCUGACGUUACCCACAGAAUAAGCACCGGCUAACUCUGUGCCAGCAGCCGCGGUAAUACAGAGGGUGCAAGCGUUAAUCGGAAUUACUGGGCGUAAAGCGCGCGUAGGUGGUUAUUUAAGUCAGAUGUGAAAGCCCCGGGCUUAACCUGGGAACUGCAUCUGAUACUGGAUAACUAGAGUAGGUGAGAGGGGAGUAGAAUUCCAGGUGUAGCGGUGAAAUGCGUAGAGAUCUGGAGGAAUACCGAUAGCGAAGGCAGCUCCCUGGCAUCAUACUGACACUGAGGUGCGAAAGCGUGGGUAGCAAACAGGAUUAGAUACCCUGGUAGUCCACGCCGUAAACGAUGUCUACCAGUCGUUGGGUCUUUUAAAGACUUAGUGACGCAGUUAACGCAAUAAGUAGACCGCCUGGGGAGUACGGCCGCAAGGUUA
rnacentral:rRNA from 1 species